ACGGAGAGUUUGAUCCUGGCUCAGGAUGAACGCUGGCGGCGUGCUUAACACAUGCAAGUCGAACGAACCUUCGGGUUAGUGGCGGACGGGUGAGUAACGCGUGGGAAUCUGCCCUCAGGAGGGGGAUAACGGUUGGAAACGACCGCUAAUACCCCAUAUGCCGAGAGGUGAAAUGAAUUUCGCCUGAGGAUGAGCCCGCGUCUGAUUAGCUAGUUGGUGAGGUAAGAGCUCACCAAGGCAUCGAUCAGUAGCUGGUCUGAGAGGAUGAUCAGCCACACUGGGACUGAGACACGGCCCAGACUCCUACGGGAGGCAGCAGUGGGGAAUUUUCCGCAAUGGGCGAAAGCCUGACGGAGCAACGCCGCGUGAGGGAUGAAGGCCUCUGGGCUGUAAACCUCUUUUCUCAAGGAAGAAGAUCUGACGGUACUUGAGGAAUAAGCCACGGCUAAUUCCGUGCCAGCAGCCGCGGUAAUACGGGAGUGGCAAGCGUUAUCCGGAAUUAUUGGGCGUAAAGCGUCCGCAGGCGGCCUUUCAAGUCUGCUGUUAAAGCGUGGAGCUUAACUCCAUCAUGGCAGUGGAAACUGUUGGGCUUGAGUGUGGUAGGGGCAGAGGGAAUUCCCGGUGUAGCGGUGAAAUGCGUAGAUAUCGGGAAGAACACCAGUGGCGAAGGCGCUCUGCUGGGCCAUAACUGACGCUCAUGGACGAAAGCCAGGGGAGCGAAAGGGAUUAGAUACCCCUGUAGUCCUGGCCGUAAACGAUGAACACUAGGUGUCGGGGGAAUCGACCCCCUCGGUGUCGUAGCCAACGCGUUAAGUGUUCCGCCUGGGGAGUACGCACGCAAGUGUGAAACUCAAAGGAAUUGACGGGGGCCCGCACAAGCGGUGGAGUAUGUGGUUUAAUUCGAUGCAACGCGAAGAACCUUACCAGGGUUUGACAUCCUGCGAAUCUCUUGGAAACGAGAGAGUGCCCUCGGGAACGCAGUGACAGGUGGUGCAUGGCUGUCGUCAGCUCGUGUCGUGAGAUGUUGGGUUAAGUCCCGCAACGAGCGCAACCCACGUCUUUAGUUGCCAGCAUUUAGUUGGGCACUCUAGAGAGACCGCCGGUGAUAAACCGGAGGAAGGUGUGGAUGACGUCAAGUCAUCAUGCCCCUUACAUCCUGGGCUACACACGUACUACAAUGCUACGGACAAAGAGCAGCAAGUUCGCGAGGACAAGCAAAUCUCAUAAACCGUGGCUCAGUUCAGAUCGUAGGCUGCAACUCGCCUACGUGAAGGAGGAAUCGCUAGUAAUCGCAGGUCAGCAUACUGCGGUGAAUACGUUCCCGGGCCUUGUACACACCGCCCGUCACACCAUGGAAGUUGGCCACGCCCGAAGCCGUUACUCCAACCCUUGUGGAGGAGGACGUCGAAGGUGGGGCUGAUGACUGGGGUGAAGUCGUAACAAGGUAGCCGUACCGGAAGGUGCGGCUGGAUCACCUCCU
rnacentral:rRNA from 2 species